UACAGAGGUCCCAAGCGUUGUUCGGAUUCACUGGGCGUAAAGGGUGCGUAGGCGGUCGGGUAAGUCUGACGUGAAAUCUUCAAGCUCAACUUGGAAACUGCGUCCGAUACUAUUCGGCUAGAGGAAUGGAGGGGAGACUGGAAUACUUGGUGUAGCAGUGAAAUGCGUAGAUAUCAAGUGGAACACCAGUGGCGAAGGCGAGUCUCUGGACAUUUCCUGACGCUGAGGCGCGAAAGCUAGGGGAGCAAACGGG
rnacentral:rRNA from 1 species